rnacentral:rRNA from 1 species
UACGUAGGGGGCAAGCGUUAUCCGGAUUUACUGGGUGUAAAGGGAGCGUAGACGGUUAAGCAAGUCAGAAGUGAAAGCCCAAAGCUCAACUUCGGGACUGCUUUUGAAACUGUGUAACUAGAGUGCAGGAGGGGUAAGCGGAAUUCCUAGUGUAGCGGUGAAAUGCGUAGAUAUUAGGAGGAACACCGGCGGCGAAGGCGGCUUACUGGACUGUAACUGACGUUGAGGCUCGAAAGCGUGGGGAGCAAACAGG